GUUGAUGUAGCUUAUAGAUAAAGCAAAGCACUGAAAAUGCUUAGAUGGAUGCGAGCAUCCCAUAAACA
rnacentral:tRNA from 2 species